rnacentral:rRNA from 1 species
CCUUCGGGAGCUGACGAGUUGCGAACGGGUGCGUAACGCGUAUGCAACCUACCUAUAACUGAGGGAUAGCCCAUAGAAAUGUGGAUUAAUACCUCAUAACAACUAAAGAUGGCAUCAUCUUAAGUUUAAAACUCCGGUGGUUAUAGAUGGGCAUGCGUGACAUUAGCUAGUUGGUGAGGUAACUGCUCACCAAGGCAACGAUGUCUAGGGGUUCUGAGAGGAUGAUCCCCCACACUGGUACUGAGACACGGACCAGACUCCUACGGGAGGCAGCAGUGAGGAAUAUUGCGCAAUGGAGGAAACUCUGACGCAGCCAUGCCGCGUGCAGGAUGACUGCCCUAUGGGUUGUAAACUGCUUUUAUAUAGGAAGAACUACAGAUACGUGUAUUUGUUUGACGGUACUAUACGAAUAAGGACCGGCUAACUCCGUGCCAGCAGCCGCGGUAAUACGGAGGGUCCAAGCGUUAUCCGGAUUUAUUGGGUUUAAAGGGUCCGUAGGCGGGUCAUUAAGUCAGUGGUGAAAUCCUACAGCUCAACUGUAGAACUGCCAUUGAAACUGGUGACCUUGGAAUAUAAUUGAAGUAGGCGGAAUGUGUCAUGUAGCGGUGAAAUGCUUAGAUAUGCCACAGAACACCGAUUGCGAAGGCAGCUUACUAAGUUAUUAUUGACGCUGAGGGACGAAAGCGUGGGUAGCGAACAGGAUUAGAUACCCUGGUAGUCCACGCCGUAAACGAUGUAUACUCGUUGCUAGCGAUACACAGUUAGUGACCAAG